CCAGCCUCACUGCCAGCUCCUCUGUGGCCAGACAGACACGCACCAAGGUCCGUGACAGAUGACGUGUGUCCCAGGCCGGCCCUCGCACAGACGGCAGAGUGGGUAGGCGUGAUGCCUCCCUGUGUCCGGCAAUGAACCCACAGGACAUUUCAUGGACCCAGACGCUGCAGAGGGACCUGGCCGCAGAGAAGGCAUACGGCACAGAAGCCCGAGGCGGCCACUGCACAGCCGGGAUCCGAGCUUAAUGUGAGCGGUGCAAACAGCAGCAAGGGCCAGCCGCGGGGAGGGGCUCGCUGUGCUGGGGACCUGAGCCGCGCAGCCAAGGGCGCGGAGUGAGGACAGUGGGCAUCCCAGAGGCAGUGACAUAGCAGACCCAUCGCGAGCGCCCGCAGAGGCUGGCAGUGACCCGCUCUGUGUCCCAGGUCUCUCCGAGGACAGGCAGGUACGGUUCAAACACCUUUAUUUCUUAUUACAAAGAAAUAAAGCCCUUUAUACUCUCAGUGUUCCUAUCGUGUCACACUACAGUGACCUAAAUAGGCAUCAAGCGUUAGGAAAACAUUAUUGUUACAUUUAUAACUAACAGUAAGAGAGUUUCUAAGGCUUUAAUAAUUAAAAAAAAUUUUAAUUACUUAUUUAUUAUUUUUUGAGGAGAGCAAGUAGGGGAGGGGCAGACAGAGGGAGAGAGAAAAUCCCAAGCAAGUUCUGUGUUGUCAGGACAGAGCCCGACAUGGGGCUCGAACCCAUGAACCGUGAGAUUAUGGCCUGAGCCGAAGUUGGACGCCUAACCAACUGAGUCACCCAGGCGCCCCCUUAACAAAAAUUUUUAAAGGUCACUGUGCACCUGUCUCCCCGCUGAUCCCGGAGACGGUCUUCCUGGUUUGAGGCAGGACUGCCGGAAUGGGGAAAACGGGAUCAUUCUGCCUUCAGGCUUCCUCCCACGACACGUGACUCCUCUUCUGUGCCCGCGCACAGACUGGCUGGACUCUGGGCUGUUGCCUUCAUUUCCUCAGCAAGCCGUUCUUGGUGGAUUUUUAGAACAGCAGAAACUCCGCCGGCUCUGCUUGUCAUCUAGCAACCGCUGGGUGGACCGUCCAGCUGGCCACCUACCUGUGUCCCUAAAAGGGACGUUUAACCACAUGGGGACGUCAGCUUAUCCUAC
rnacentral:lncRNA from 1 species